rnacentral:rRNA from 1 species
GGGGAAUAUUGGACAAUGGGGGCAACCCUGAUCCAGCCAUGCCGCGUGAGUGAUGAAGGCCUUCGGGUUGUAAAGCUCUUUUGGUGGGGAAGAUGAUGACUGUACCCACAGAAUAAGCUCCGGCUAACUUCGUGCCAGCAGCCGCGGUAAUACGAAGGGAGCUAGCGUUGUUCGGAAUUACUGGGCGUAAAGGGCGCGUAGGCGAUUUGGCAAGUUGGAUGUGAAAGCCCUGGGCUUAACCCGGGAAUUGCAUUCAAGACUGCCUUAAUUGAAUUCGGUAGAGGUGAGUGGAAUUCCCAGUGUAGAGGUGAAAUUCAUAGAGAUUGGGAAGAACACCCGUGGCGAGGGCGGCUCACUGGACCGAUAUUGACGCUGAGGCGCGAAAGCGUGGGGAGCAAAC